rnacentral:rRNA from 1 species
UGGGAAUUUGGACAAUGGCGCAAGCCUGAUCCAGCCAUGCCGCGUGCGGGAAGAAGGCCUUCGGUUGUAAACCGCUUUUGUCAGGGAAGAAAUCUUCUGAGUUAAUACCUCGGGAGGAUGACGGUACCUGAAGAAUAAGCACCGGCUAACUACGUGCCAGCAGCCGCGGUAAUACGUAGGGUGCAAGCGUUAAUCGGAAUUACUGGGCGUAAAGCGUGCGCAGGCGGUUUUGUAAGACAGAGGUGAAAUCCCCGGGCUCAACCUGGGAACUGCCUUUGUGACUGCAAGGCUUGAGUGCGGCAGAGGGGGAUGGAAUUCCGCGUGUAGCAGUGAAAUGCGUAGAUAUGCGGAGGAACACCGAUGGCGAAGGAAUCCCCUGGGCCUGCACUGACGCUCAUGCACGAAAGCGUGGGGAGCAAACAGGAUUAGAUAGCCCUGGUAGUCCACGCCCUAAAACGAUGUCAACUGGUUGUUGGGAAGGUUCCUUCUCAGUAACGUAGCUAACGCGUG